GCACAAGCGGUGGAGCAUGUGGUUUAAUUCGAUGCAACGCGAAGAACCUUACCCGGGCUCGAAAUGCUAUGGACCGGGGUGGAAACAUCCCUUCCCCGCAAGGGGCCGUAGUAUAGGUGCUGCAUGGCUGUCGUCAGCUCGUGUCGUGAGAUGUUGGGUUAAGUCCCGCAACAAGCGCAACCCUUACCCCCAGUUGCCAUCAUUUAGUUGGGCACUCUGGUGGAACCGCCUCGGAUAACGGGGAGGAAGGUGGGGAUGACGUCAAGUCCUCAUGGCCUUUAUGUCCAGGGCUACACACGUGCUACAAUGGCUGGUACAGAGGGCUGCGAUACCGCGAGGUGGAGCGAAUCCCUUAAAGCCGGUCUCAGUUCGGAUCGCAGUCUGCAACUCGACUGCGUGAAGUCGGAGUCGCUAGUAAUCGCAGAUCAGCAACGCUGCGGUGAAUACGUUCCCGGGC
rnacentral:rRNA from 1 species